UGGACGGCAGCCAACCCUCAAACGGGCCCCCACGGAGAAGACGUGGAGACGUGAGCUCCCAAUUCAGGCUUCCAGCGGAUGCGUAUUGAACCCCUCGGACCGGAAGCUGAGAUCAUGGAUUACUUUCUCAUUGCUCUCAAGGAGUGAACAUCAGAAUCGGCCUGUGAUGGGAAACGCUGCUGCACGCAGACAGUAAAGAUGACACCCAGUCCUAGAUGUGUUUGCUGAGCACUGAGGACGCUCCCACAAAGAGCUGAGAAAGCAAAUGCAGAGCCUCCAUCCCUGCCCAUUUUCCUGCCACGGGCCCCAACUCCAUGUUUCCAGGACUCACUCAUGACCUUCUGUACUGACAGCCCCACAGGGGAAGCUGAAGCCAGACUCUAACCCAGAGAGUCUGUUCAGCUGAUCUUCUCCCAGGAGCGGCAAACUGUCUUCUCCAUACACAGCUAGGCUCGCGUUUUAAAGUCCAAAACCGAAAUCCAGGUUUGUCAAAAGUG